rnacentral:rRNA from 1 species
AGAGUUUGAUCCUGGCUCAGAUUGAACGCUGGCGGCAUGGCUAAAACAUGCAAGUCGAACGAGAACCCCGCAAGGGGGGACAGUGGCGGAAGGGUUAGUAAUACCAUCGAACGUACCCCGAGGUGAGGGAUAGGCAUGGGAAACUGUGCGUAAUACCUCAUAAUCUCCAAGGAGCAAAGAUUUAUCGCCUUGGGAGCGGCGAUGGGCCUAUCAGGUAGUUGGCGGGGUAAAGGCCCACCAAGCCUAAGACGGGUAGCGGGUGUGAGAGCACGGCCCGCAACAUCGGGACUGAGACACUGCCCGGACUCCUACGGGAGGCUGCAGUAACGAAUAUUCCGCAAUGCGCGAAAGCGUGACGGAGCAAUGCCGCGUGCAGGAUGAAGCAGCUUCGCUGUGUAAACUGCUGUCAGGGGCUACUAACUAUGAAGAGCCUCAGAGGAAGGACCGGCUAAACUCGUGCCAGCAGCCGCGGUAAUACGAGUGGUCCAAGCGUUAGUCGGAAUCACUGGGCUUAAAGGGUGCGUAGGCGGACCAGAAAGCGUCUUGUGAAAUCCCCCGGCUCAACCGGGGAACUGCAGGGCGAACUGCUGGUCUUGAGGAAGGUAGAGGCCGGCAGAACGAUCGGUGGAGCGGUGGAAUGCGUAGAGAUCGAUCGGAAUGCCAAAGGUGAAGACAGCCGGCUGGGCCUUUCCUGACGCUGAGGCACGAAAGCGUGGGGAGCAAACAGGAUUAGAUACCCUGGUAGUCCACGCCCCAAACGAUGCGCACUAGACUGGUGCGGCUCUCACGCCGUAUCGGUCGUAGAGAAAUUGCUAAGUGCGCCGCCUGGGGAGUACGGUCGCAAGGCUAAAACUCAAAGGAAUUGACGG